CAAAGGGCACGCUGCCUCCAGGAACUGCCGCCCAGUGCUGCGACACACGGGCUCAUCCUGUGGGAGUGCGGUGCAAGCUGAGGCCACACAGCUGGCAGGGCUUCAGUCACUGCCUGCUUGCCUGAGGAAGCACAUUCAUCACAACACUGGCCAUCAGAGCCUGAUUACACAAGGGGGUAAGGACCCAGCCAGAGAGCAAAUGCCAAAAGGUGCCCCCUGGAAACAAAUGCAAGAAAAGGAGAACUGUAGAAGCACGGGUCCAUACCAAGCCAGAGUUUCCAGGCAAAGCAUAUUUCUCAAUAUUUAACCAGCAUCCGGGGGGAAACCAAAGUGGCUCAGGACCGUUCAUAUCGCCACUGGUUGCACUGCCGCUAGUCACGAUUCUGCAAGCACGACAGCUGCUGAACAAUAAAGAUUAUUACCCCUAAAAUAAUUUACUGGACCUCAUACCAGGAGAAGAAAAGUUAUGGAUACCAUCAAAAUUAAUAAA